rnacentral:rRNA from 1 species
UACAGAGGUCCCGAGCGUUGUUCGGAUUCACUGGGCGUAAAGGGUGCGUAGGUGGCUUGGUAAGUUUGAUGUGAAAGCUCAGGGCUUAACCCUGAAAUGGCAUUGAAUACUACUGAGCUGGAGGUUUGGAGGGGGGACUGGAAUUCUUGGUGUAGCAGUGAAAUGCGUAGAUAUCAAGAGGAACACCAGUGGAAGGCGAGUCCCUGGACAACACCUGACACUGAGGCACGAAAGCUAGGGGAGCAAACAGG